rnacentral:rRNA from 1 species
GACGAACGCUGGCGGCGUGCUUAACACAUGCGAGUCGAACGGAAAGGCCCUGCUUUUGUGGGGUGCUCGAGUGGCGAACGGGUGAGUAACACGUGAGUAACCUGCCCUUGACUUUGGGAUAACUUCAGGAAACUGGGGCUAAUACCGGAUAGGAGCUCCUGCUGCAUGGUGGGGGUUGGAAAGUUUCGGCGGUUGGGGAUGGACUCGCGGCUUAUCAGCUUGUUGGUGGGGUAGUGGCUUACCAAGGCUUUGACGGGUAGCCGGCCUGAGAGGGUGACCGGCCACAUUGGGACUGAAAUACGGCCCAGACUCCUAAGGGAGGCAGCAGUGGGGAAUAUUGCACAAUGGGCGGAAGCCUGAUGCAGCAACGCCGCGUGCGGGAUGACGGCCUUCGGGUUGUAAACCGCUUUCGCCUGUGACGAAGCGUGAGUGACGGUAAUGGGUAAAGAAGCACCGGCUAACUACGUG